rnacentral:lncRNA from 1 species
CACUGAGUGAAACCCUAAUCCCCUAGAUAGUUCAUCUGCCACAACACAAAUGGGGGAACGCUACAUCCCAAGUAGCCGAUUGUUUCCAGAAGAGAUAUUUCACCGAGGUGAUCCUGAAUUUCGUCCGGAAUCUGCACAUGUUCUUCUAUCCCGAACACCUGGGAUGAAAGCCAAGCAGGAUGAGCUCAUCGGUCGAGCUCUUUUCGCGACAAUCCAU